CAUCUCUCUUUUCUUCUUUCUUCUUUCUUUAUUUUGCUCUCACUUCCAUCUACUCUCCACCAACCAACAGCUGUCACCUCCUAGCAACCACUUUUUAGGCCAGUUCUGGUCGCCGGCUAGCCACCAUUUCUGGCCAACAUUUGUUCAAGACUUUAGUUCACCCAUUUAGCUCCAAAUCAAGGUUCAAUUGAAGGAAUCUACACUUGGAUUCUAUUGUUGAUUGGAGUUGCAAGCUUGGUUAGGUGAGGUUCAAGAACUUGGGAAGUCUUGGGUUAAGAAAAAGGUAAGAAUUUCUUGAUUUAUUGAGUUGCCUUGUGUUAGAUAUGUGAAAUUAAAGUUAUUAGUAUAUUGAUUUGAGAAUGAGCUUACCGAAUAAUAGGUAGAUUGAGACCGGAGAAUUCAAGGUUGAAUAUUAGCUUUACAUAGCUAGUUUUUGGAGUACGAGGUAGCGAAAUUCCACCCUUUCCAUUUCCAAUGACUAUAUUCCUUCUAUUGAGAGCGUUUAUUUUCCUCAUUGGUCAUUAUUAUUCCAUUCUCGCCUUAAUUGUGCCUAAGGGAGAACAACCCUAUAGUGCGAUUACUUUGUUGUAUGAAAUGAGUGAUAUUGUUUAGCCUACAUGUUCAAUCUUCUAUUGAACAUGAGUUAUUCUCGAACAUGCAUCAUGUAGUAGUAUAUAUGUAGGAUUGUAUGUAUACAGUAUUGCAUAAUCAUGUUAGACAUGCAUUGUAGUUACAUGGUGGAUGUUGGGUAAGGACCAGUACAUCUCCUAGGUAUGGUUGGUGUGAAUGUGGAAUGUCGUUGGGCCGUUCAGGGUUCCGAUGAGUACAGGAAUGCCGGUGGAUCGGGUCAGGAUUCCAUAUGUACUUGGCGCACCAUACGGUGAUGUCGUUGGGCUGUUUAAGGUCCCGUUGAGAACAGGGAUGCCAAUGGGUCAAGUUAGGAUCCUGUAUGGUGUUGUUAUUUACUUAUGUUUUGGCGUACAUGAUGUUAGAUAUCAUAUUGUUGCAUUUGUGUUUUCUUUGAUAAUUCAGCUCUAAUAUCGAUUAUUCAUCCUCUAUUAUUUCCUACUAGGCCUUUUGCUCACCCUUUUCCUUUUAUGUUCCUCCACAGGUGAGUCUAGUUCCAGUACCAGGGUUGCGGACCAGGAGGGCGGACGUGACAUGGAUAGGCCCUGAAGAGUGAUAGGACCUAGAUGGUUGCAUACUAUAGUUAUGUUAUUAGUACUAUUUGUAUUUGCAUUAUCAGGUUGAGAUUUGUUAUUUGAUACACCCAUUCGGUUUGUGGA